rnacentral:piRNA from 1 species
UUGUCAGUGAUGAACAGGCCACACCUUGA